UUCCCAACACACUUAGCCAUUUCAGGCCUCAAUUUCUUUAGAUCUCGCCAACGCCUCCAUUUCUUCAGAUCUUGCCGAUGCCUCAUUUCCUCUCCUCCAUCGCGAACCAUCGACGCCUCUCCUCCAAGUCUAAGACCAUAGCCGACCACCAUUUCCUCUACUCUCCAUUUCUACCGCCAACAGAUUCAAAGCCACAACCACGCCACCAACGUUCAGCCGUCGCCACCCAUCCUCUACAAAAGCUUCCAUCUGACGCCACCACCGAAGCCUCAGCCGCCCUUCCUACGCUGGAGCUGCCUCACUCGCGACCGUCACGGACUGACGCCAAACGCCACCACCGAAAAUGGAAAUACAAACCACAGCUGACGCCCUCCUCGUCUCACCUUCGUUGAUCUCCUCCUCCAUCUCUCAGCCGACGCCGACACCGUGAACUGCCGCGAGCUACAGUAAACGCCACCUGCCGACGCUGCCAUCCCGUCUCGACCUGCUAGCCUCUGCCACGCCACUACUAGCCUCCACCACCGCUGGUAAGUCUCCCUUUGAAUUUUUUGUUAUUUAUUACUUUUUCUAAUCUUUAAAAUCAAACUGGAUGUGUGCAGAUUAAACGAGAAAAUAUUGUUUCUUGUUUGCUACCGCAGAUUAAAUGAGAAAAUAAUCAUUUUCCCCAAAUUAUUAUGUCUUUUUACCAGAUUAUCAGAAUUUAAUUGCCUUAGUGUUGUGUUCCAUAGAACUAUAUUAUAUUUGUAUGUUUGUUUGAAGAUAGGUUCUGUUGUUGAAGUUAUAGCUAGGAACAUGUAGGAUGCAAUUAGUAAUUGGAAAAAGAAAUAUGAGAAAAGUGUGGGAAAAGAAAACAGAAAAAUGCACUAAACAGGCCUGUAGAGUUUACUGCCUUAAUGUACUGAGCUAAGCUUGCUUGUAUCUUUUCUCAAGGUGUCAUUUGAAGUGAAUAUUUUGCAUUCGAAAGUUUUGAGUUGAACUACAACAUUAUACUAAUUGGUUAAUGUGUGAUCACCCUAGACUUUGGAAUUUUUUAGUUUCUGGUUUCAUUCGCCAUUACUUACUUUUCACUGAAUAUUUGGAUCUCUAAUUUGUUAGAAUGAUAGUAAAAGGAAUCCAAACAAUUCCUAAUUUGUUUUUAGUUGAAUGCCCUCUCUUUCUAUUUCCCUGUUCUCUUGUAUGUUUGUUAAUUUUGAUGUUCAAAGUUCAAUACUUGUUGCGAACUUCGUCAAAACUAAAUUUAUGUGCAAUUUUACUUUUGAUUUAUUUUAUGUGCUUAGUGAAGCAGUAAGAAUAUGCGUCAUUUCCUUUCCUUUCAAUUACUUGUUCUAUCCAAUUGAAGUUUGGAGCGGAAUCAAAAUGAUCAACUGGGUCUUGGCACUAUAGAGGAUUCACUUGUACCUCAUAAAAUUGAAACACUUCAGGUAUUCCCAGAUUUUGCAUUUUGAUUUUAAAAAAGUUCAGAUACUUCGUACAAUAAGAGAGCAACACUUACUAUUGUGUUCUUCAUUUCCUUUUUUAUAUUCCUUAUAGGUUUAUGGCCUAUUAACAUUAUACAGAGUAAAUUUAUGCAUCCCUUUGCAAUAACAUAUCCGUCUACCCUUCUCAUCUGUAUGCUCAUGUUUCUUGUGACUGUGUGUUUAUUGAAGCAAGAUGCAAAUCCCUUAAAUCUAACAGUCCUUCCCACAACCUAGGAUAGAAAUGAAUGUGCAUAUCUAUGACAAAGAAUUUUGGUUUUAAUCAUCAACUGCAAAACUUGUGUAAACUUCUCUUCUGCUCCAUUUGGCACAGAAAAGUGAUUGCUCAAUGAUGUUGCAAUUCACUUACUGGAAUGUCCUUGUAGGGAGUUCCUGUGAAAAUGGUUGCUGCCGGUGCUAAACAUACAGGGUUGAAAAACUUUAUGCAUGAACCUGAAUACAUUCUUAAAUUGAAGCUACAGAUAAAUCAAAAUCGAAGUGCAAGACUGAGGGAAAGGUUCAAGAGAUAGUGAUUCUUUAGAUGCAAAGUGAAGAAUUUGAGAAACUUUAUACAGAAUAUGAAAGAAAGGUAAUUCAUAUAUAUGAAUUUAUACCGUCUCCUUUGUAGUUUAGCAAUAUUGUAAAUUCUAAGCUUCCUUAGAUUUUUUAAUAUUGUAACACUAGUUUAUUGGUAAAGUACUCACUGCUACAAUUCUUAAUACUGUAUUUUCUAUUUUUAUUUUUUAAACAUAGUGCGUUUCUCUCCGUACAUCAGAAAUGGCAUCAUGGCAAUUUCUGGUUCUUUUCUAUUUCCUUAAAUAACUUAGCUGGUUUAUUCGUAUUUGUUAAUUACAAACAAUUUAGUGUGGGUUGUAAUUCCUUUAA